GAUGAACGCUAGCUACAGGCUUAACACAUGCAAGUCGAGGGGAAACGGCAUUAAGUGCUUGCACUUUUUGGACGUCGACCGGCGCACGGGUGAGUAACGCGUAUCCAACCUUCCCAUGACUAAGGGAUAACCUGCCGAAAGGCAGACUAAUACCUUAUGGUCUUCACUGACGGCAUCAGAUGUGAAGUAAAGAUUUAUCGGUUAUGGAUGGUGAUGCGUCUGAUUAGCUUGUUGGCGGGGUAACGGCCCACCAAGGCAACGAUCAGUAGGGGUUCUGAGAGGAAGGUCCCCCACAUUGGAACUGAGACACGGUCCAAACUCCUACGGGAGGCAGCAGUGAGGAAUAUUGAUCAAUGGGCGAGAGCCUGAACCAGCCAAGUAGCGUGCAGGAUGACGGCCCUAUGGGUUGUAAACUGCUUUUGUAUGGGGAUAAAGUCAAUCACGUGUGAUUGUUUGCAGGUACCAUACGAAUAAGGACCGGCUAAUUCCGUG
rnacentral:rRNA from 1 species